AUACCCUCUGCAUCGAGGGAAAAUUUGUUUGUUGCUAUAGUUGGUUAUCGUUGCAUACGCAUUAGUAUAAGACAAGAGUAUCAUUCUGGACCUGUUGCACAUGGUGUGCUGUUAUUUAGUUUUAGCUUAUAAUUGCAAGCGAAAAGAGUGGUAGUAGUAACGAAUUAGCAUUCGUAGAUUUCGCUCAGUAAUAAUUUUAGUUCUAGUGAAUUAGAUUAUUCAAAAUUAUGAAGCUUCUUGGAAAAGUUCUUGUAACUUUAUUGAUAGGUUGCGCGUACACCCUGAACCUUAAUAAACGCGAAGACUUUGGAAAUCUAAAUCAACCAGGAGUACAUUUUGGUAACAGCGGAACUAGUUCAUUUGGUGGCAGAGGAAAUAAUCCAUUUGGUAGCGUUGGUAAUUCACAGGCAAACGCAAAUUUUAUGCAGGCCCAAAGUAUGCUAGCGCAGCUCUCAGCAAUGAUAAAACAGAAAUGUGAACAAACUGGACAUUCUGACGUAUUUCAGACUUUUCAGGCACAGUUUGAGCAGACUACAAAAUGCAUGGAAGGCAAAAUAAAUUUAAACGGAAAUGUUGUUGGUGAAGACUUUAGUAAUGCUGCACGAACUAACCAGCUACCUAACUUUUUUAAGAAAUACUGUAAGCUUUGGCCUGACGUUCAUGGGUGUACUCAGCCUAUUGUGACUUCUAUUGAAAAAUGUUUGAAUAGCGAUGAAAAGCGCGCUGUUGAAGAAUCAGUUUCUCUCCUCGAUGACACGAAUAAUUUCUUCUGCGAAAACAAUGCUGAUCGCAGUAUAAGACUACUUAAUGGUAAUAUUGUGCAAUGUUUGCAGACUGUAGGUAGAGAGAUCCAAGAAUGUGCAACAAAUCUGGCGCAGAAGAGGCAAACUCACCAAAGUGGCCGAAAGAGCUUGUUCCCUUAUGAUGAAGAGGACUGCAGCGACUUCAAGACUGGCCGUCAAUGCAUCAACUCAAAGCUAACUAAAUGCGAAUCAAAAGAUCCUUCCAAAAUCUUUGAUGACUAUUUUGCAAUGGUUCAAGGCAAGGUUUGCAGAUCAGCGUCAAGCUUGUCUUAAUUUUAGUUUGCUAAUAUUUUGUUAUCGGUAGGAACCUACUUGUAUUCUAGGAUGUUCUAAGCCAUUAUGGUAUAGGAUAAUUAGGUAAACACUGCCUACCUCACGAACGUUCUUGAAUAUAAAAGCUUCUGACCAAAUACUCUGAUUGUAUAAGUCUGCAUAAUGUUGUUUAUAUGUGAGACUAUUACAGCAACAAUAGCCUAAGCUCAAAAUAGUAUAUUGUGCAACAAGUGCAGAAAGGUACUAAUUUCUCACGAGUUUGAAAAGUUGCGGUACGAGCGCAAGCGAGUGCCGCGAUUCAAACAAGUGAAAAAUUACCUUUCUGUACGUGUUACACACUAUACUUUUUCUACAACCACAGUUUUUGCUAAAAAUAAAAAUCACAAUUUCCAAACGAAGAUUUAUUAUAAAAAUAAAUUAUAAAUUUUAAAUUGUAUAUUAAUAAUUAAUACUAAUCAAUUUAAAUUCCUUAUACCUAAACAAAUUGUAAAAAAAUCAGUUAAAAAAUUAAUGCACUGACUUAAUUUAUUUGAAUUUAAUAGUUAUUUAUUAUAUAAGUGUUAAAAGUACACGUUUAAGGCACGCAUGUGAAAGUUUGCAGAAUGAGCGAUAGCGAGUUCUGCAAUUGACAUGAGUGCCUUAAAAAUGUACUUUUUAACACGCAUAUCAUACAAUAUUUUUUCUACAAACGUAAUUACAGGACAAUAUCUACAAAGAUUUUACUUGAACUUGAGUGACAUUACAUUUUUAUAUUUUUUUGACAUUGCAUCAAAAUUGUCUAUACGGUCAAUACAAAUUGCAGUGCCAUAAAAAUUUUAAAGCACUAGUGCCUUAAAGUAGCAUUUUUAAUGCUCUUAUGGAGUGCUAAAAAUUGCAUUUUUAAAACGGUUGUAGAAAAACUAUUUUAAAUAAUUAUUACAAAAUAUUGUCACAUUUGACAUUAUAUUUAUACACUCACGGAUUUACACCAUAUCUACUUCAUUCGACGUAUCUUGCUGAUGUUGCUAAAUCCUUAUUGGUUAAUUGAUAAUUAUAAAAUGUUUAUUAAGAAUAAAAUUGUAAAAUAAAACAGUUAUGACAUCCAUAUUUUAAUUUCUAUUCGAUAAUUAAGAAUAAUAAUUGUCUUACAAGUUGUACAUUUGUCUACACUUUAACCACAGAUUUAAACAGAAUAUAUAACGUUACUCAGAAUGAAGUAGUAAAAUACCAAAUGUGUUCAAAAAUAAUGUGUUAAAGUAGCGAAUUUUGCAUAUUUCUCGGACAUGAGUUAAAUCGGUUCUAUUUUGAAAAGAUCAACUAUCAAAUCUAAUAUCAUCUAAACAUGGCAUAAUUAUAUUUAUGAAUAUAUUGUGGAAUGUAAUGGUACUGUGAUAUUUUCUCACAGUAUAAGAUUUAUGACAUUAGGGUGUAGAAAAGUGACGUUUCUGUGCAGGAAAUUUUUCUGCACAGAAACGUCACUUUUCUGCACAUUAAUGUCAUAAAUCUUAUACUGUGAGAAAAUAUAAACUUUGCUAACAUAAAACUGUGCAGAAAAUUGCACUUUGACUAGUGGUUGUAGAAAAACAAAAUUUUGAGAUAAAUGCAAUCUUUGCAUUCGUAUUUUCAUUAUGUUUAUAUGCAUCUAGCCAAAUAUAGAGGUAGGUUGUGUAGGUCCCUGUUAAUCCGUAGAUUUAAUGUUGCUACUUUUAUUGAUAUAUUAAUUUAAAAAUGCUUAAGUUGUGGCUUAGGACACUGUUACUCUGAAGGCCAAUAGGUACCUCGCAGAUACUUAGGUAGGUACCCUUACCAGGCCAUUAAAAUGGCGUUUUUUUUUUAUAUUUUAAAGUACUUACCUAAAUAAGGAAAAGAAUAUUAUUCAAAAAAUAAUAAUUCUAGCAGUCAUUUAAAUUCUACAUUCUUGUUUAUACAACAAAAUAUUUUGACUUUCAGUAAAGACCGCGUCUCACCAUCAAAUAAUUUGAUCAAACAGUUUGAGCAAACUCCGGAAAUACGUCAAAGUGACGUCACAAUUGCAGUUUUUUAAAAUUCUAAAAAUCUGUGCUCUCACUAUCAGUCUAGUUUGAUCAAAUUUUUUGUAUUGAGUUGUCUAACUUGUUUGUACUUUAUUUAAAAUUAAAAUUUUUCAUUAUUAUCCACAAUGAACACUCAGGAUGUGACGUCACUAACUGUCACUUUCAGUUUGCUCAAACCAGUUUGAUCAAAUUAUUUGAUCGUGGGACGCGGCCUUCAGUUUGCUCAAACCAGUUUGAUCAAAAUAUUUGAUGGUGGGACGCGGCCUUAAGACUCCAGACAUAAUCUACUGGUAUGCAACCAACAUUACACAGUUUUACACUGUUGGGAAAUAUAUUAAAGAAACUAGACAGUUCAACUUUGGUAUUGUGUUAACUUGAAUAUAAUAAUCGGUCAUUCUAGAUGUUAAUCCAAUGACUCUAAAAUGAUUCUCAAUUAUUGAGCAAGUCCUAUGUAUCUACUACAUACCUCAUACCUAAAUUCUAGUGUGUUCAGUAAUAUACUUGAAACAUUUUUCUAACAAUUCAAGCAUUUUAGUUUGGUUUUAGUAUUUUAUCACAAACAAUUUAUUUACUAGGUACAAUAAAUGGUUAUAAUUAUGUUCUUGUAAUCUCGCCGGUCCAGAAUGAGAAUGACUUAACUGCAAAAAUCCAAAUUUCUAAGGAGAGCAAAAAACUAUUUUUAAAUAAAUUAAAAUAGGGAUUAAAUGAGAAGUAACCAUCACGGAGUAUCGGUAUGGAGUUUCUUCUUACAACUAUGGCUUUUAUUUUGUCCCUAUUGGUCCGAAUUUCAAUAUCCUAAUGUAAUCCCCCCAUUUUCAACCCCUUUUACAGUUGCGUCAUUCUUCAUCUAAAAAGUUUUAAAUAUUAAAAAUAGUGAUUAAAUAAAGAGUAACCAUCCGGAGCAUCGGAAUGGCGUUUAAUCUUAUAAGAUAGCUUUUAGUUUCAUCCCUAUUGGUUCGAAUUUUAUUAUCCGAAUUUAAUCCCUCCAUUUCCAACCCUAUCUACAGUUGCGUCAUUCUUGAUCUUAAAAUUUUUCUGUCCAAAAAAAAACUAUUUUUAAAUAUUUAGUAUGCCGUUUAAUCUUACAGCAAUGGCUUUUAUUUUCAUCCCUACUGGUCCGAAUUUCCUUAUAUUAAUUUAGUCGCCCCAUAUUCAACCCUAUUUAAAGUCAUUCGUGUUCCGGACCGGCGAAUACACCGUAUUUUUCCAUUUCUACAGCUCGGGUGUAAAGGAUGCAAGCAAGUAGAUUGUUUAAGCACAGUUUAAUGCUAAAGAAUCAGUUAAUUAUCUCUCGAAUUUUGACAGUUUCAGUUUUGCAAUCCACUCAUGACACAAAAUUUUGAAUGCGCGACGAUAACGACCAAUCAAGGCAAACGUAGGAUGCCGUUGGAUGUCAUUCAUCUGCGCUAAGGACUAACAUUUUUGAUGCGCCAAAUAGUCCAGUCGCGUUAGACGAACAACAGGUCUAACCUUGCAUUAGGAGCUGCCCCAAAUUUUAUUUUUCUAAUAUUUAGGGGGGCUCAAUAGUACCGUAAAUUUAAAAUCUCGACUGAAUUCCACCGUUGCGUUAGCCGCCAUCAUGAUUUUAAACUAGAACUGUUUUUGCUCAAUAUCUCCCCCUUUUUCAACUUUUCGACAAAAAGUAUAACAACCAAAAUUGUUUGGAAUGCGAUUUUCUAUCAUUUCUAUUGUUACAAUUUUUUCGUGCCGUCGAUAUUUUCCGAGUUAGGGCGGAAAAUAGUGACAGUUUUGAAUAAUUAUUAAAUUGUCCCGUUUAUUAUUAGUUUUACGACAAAAAUGUUCCAAUACAAAAAUAGAGAGAAUUAAAUUCUACACAUUUUUUUGCUAAAGUUAAUAUUUAAGGUAGUAGGUAUCCGGUAAUGGCGCGAGCGUAAGACCCGAUUGAUUUUGAAGCAAUUGCUUUUGUUCAAUAUCAACGCCACUUUCAACUAAAAUUGUUCCAAAUAUGAUUUCCUAUAAUUUAUUUUUAACAAUUUUUUUCCUGCGGUUGAUAUUUUCCGAGUUAAGUGGGAAAAUAUUAAAAAGUGGUGGGGGAGCAUAAUUAUUGAAUUAAAUCUUGUUUCUGAGCUGCCCCAAAUUUUAUAACUCUCUUCUUUAAGGGAGAUCAAUAGUAGUGUAAAUUUAAAAUCUCGACUAAAUUCCUCGGUUGCAUUAGAGGCCACAUUGAUUUCAAAGGAGAACCGUUGUUGCUUAAUUUCUCCGCCAUUUUCAACUUUUCGACAAAAACGGUAGUAACUAAAAUUGUUUGAAAUUUUAACAAUUUAUAAUGGGAAAUAAGCCACAAUAUUAUUAAAAAAUGAUUUUUAUUAACGUUUCGACGCCCAAAUCGGGUGCCGUUGUCAAAAUACAAAAUACUACUAACAUAAACAAAAAUGGUGUUGCUUAGUAAAAAAAUUCUUCCAAUAAUUUAUUUAAUUUGACUCAUUUAUAUCGGCAAUUCAGAUACAUAUGAUACAUUUUAAAGUAGAAGACUUUAAAAUGAUAUUGCCAAUAUUGACCAAAUGACCAUUUUGCUACCAGACUUUCACCAUGUAAUCUAGUCACACCACAGCUCAGAUGUUACCUGGGCCAUUAUUUUAAAAUAGUUUAAACAUCCAUGCUCUAAUUGGCAUUUUUAACUGUUGUUUCCUUAACGGACCACUUAUACAGGGCUUUGGCCCACAUAUUUUUGUUAAACUAUAUCUUGGUGCUUAGCAUGUAACCUUCACGUAAGCACUGCACUGAUGAUGACUGGUAAAACAGUCGAAAACUAGUUAUGUGAUUGUGAUGUAGCCCUUUUUAGGGAUUUUAAAUAUAUACCUUUUAUAAAGGAUUUACUAUUUUUUGUAUUACAUGGUAUACAGCCAACUACAGGAAAACUUUUUCCUUGUGGAUUUUGACUUAAUUUUAUUAACUAGCGGGUUUUAUUGGUUGAAUUUGUCUGUCGAUAAUUAAGUUUCAUGUCAGCUAACAUAUUUUAAUAUUUCAACAAUUUUUUUUGAAUUUUGGACCCUGUUGGGGGAAAUUUCCCCCCUUGUAGACCCGCCACUGGUUUUCUCGAAAAUUGUAGUAAAUCGUAAUUGCAACAAUUUCAGUCCUUACACUUUUUGCCGAAAAGUUAAAAAUGGCGGAGAUAUUAAACAAAAACAAUAGCUAUAAAAUCAAUCAGGUGUUACGCACUCACCUUUACCGCAUACGUAAUACCUUAAAUAUUGAUUUUAUCAAAAAAUUUAAAAACAUCAAAAAUGUACAAAAUUUAAUUCUCUUCAUUUUUGUAUAGGUCCAAAUUUGUUGUAAAACUAAUAAUAAACGAAAUAAUUCAAUAAAUCAAUAAUUAUGCUCUAACUGUCCCCAUUAAUUAAUCUUUCCCCCAUAACUCGGAAAAUAUCGACCGCGCGAAAAGAAUAUAAUAAACUAAAUUAUAGAAAAUCAUAUUCUAAAUUUUCAGCUUCUACACUUUUUGUCGAAAAGUUGAAAAUGGCGGAGAUAUUGAACAAAAACGGUUCUCAUUUAAAAUCAAGAUGGCGGCUAACGCAACGGUCAAAUUAAGUCGAGAUUUUAAAUUUAUACUACUAUUGAAGCCCCUAAAGAUUAGAAAAAUAAAAUUUGGGACAGCUCGUAAUGCAAGGUCAAAUGCUAUCCCGACGGGGCUAAAAAUGGAACAUAGACAAAAAAGGAUUUUUGCGGAGUGAUCCUACCGAUUCUUGAGCAUUAUACCUGAGAAGGACCAUAUUAUAAAUUAUUAUCUUUAAUUUUCUUUAUUUAUGUGCCUGUUAUUUACAUGAAACCACAAUAAAUAUAGUAACAAACAAAA
rnacentral:misc_RNA from 1 species